rnacentral:tRNA from 1 species
AGUUUAGCUCAGUGGUAGAGUGCUUGGCUAGCACACAUGAGGUUCUGGGUUCAGUUCCCAGAACU